rnacentral:rRNA from 1 species
CGUGUAGGCGGUCCUGUAAGUCAGAUGUGAAAGCCCGGGGCUUAACCCCGGAAGUGCAUUUGAAACUAUGGGACUUGAGUAUGGGAGAGGGAAGUGGAAUUCCUGGUGUAGAGGUGAAAUUCGUAGAUAUCAGGAGGAACACCGGUGGCGAAGGCGACUUCCUGGACCAAUACUGACGCUGAGGCGCGAAGGCGUGGGGAGCAAACAGGAUUAGAUACCCUGGUAGUCC